GAAGAGGAUCUUGAGCUCCAGAUGAAAAUACAGUCCAGCUGAUACAAUGACUUUAGCUUUAUAAGAUCCUGAACAGAGAACCCAGCUACAUCCUGCCUGAACUUGAUUUACAGAACUGCUUCUCAAAGCAUAAGACUUCAUGUAACAACACUUUUACAGAAUAAUCAGUGAAAAAGCAAAUCUCUCCAUAUACAGUGCUUGACCUGUUUGGAGGUCAUCAGAAGUGGUGUGGAGGAAGAGGGAGUGGACAUCUUUGAUCAGGCUCCUGUUCCCACAUCCAGAAACGAAGCGGCACUGCUUGUUCCUGCUUUACCAGGUUAGAUCCUAGAUAAGCCAUCUACUGACUGAAGCCACAGUAUGUUUAGUAGGAGAGAUGCCCAAAGCAUGGGUACUCUCAAACCACGUGAUUCACGGUGAACCUACCCAGUGGAUAGUUAUUCAUGCUAGGGCAAAGAGAAUGCCCCUUCUACCUUUUUUCUAACCCAUUCUCCUGGCUAAGUAAAGACAGCACGAUCUCAGGAGCUGAAGGUCCCCACCAGCAGGUCACAAUGUGACUAGAUCUCUACUCUUAGGGCACAUGGACAUAGUGGGGGAGAGAAGAGCAUGCUUGUUGCUAUAGGAGUGGAAUUAGUUAUUUUCCUGAAAAUUGAGUACCAGUCAAGGAUAAUCAGUGUCUAGGAAUGUUCCUCAGGGGCUAAAAGGGGAGGGAGCUUUUUAGAGGAAAAGCAAACCACUGCUUUAGCGUUUGGUGUUUGGCUUAUCUUCAGGACUUUUUCCCCUUUCAAAGCUUAAAUACACUGCUUUUUUCUUCUUCGUGAUCUAUCUGUAC